rnacentral:lncRNA from 1 species
AGACCCCUGCGGCGGCCGCAGCCGCUUGGGACUCGCUGCGAGCUGGUUUCGGAUCCAUCCCGCCUCCCGGCGUCUCACUGUGUGCCCUACCCUUUGAAACACGCCCCCGCGCCCGCCCUGCCGUAGACCAGGCAGCGAGGAAGCCCACAGUCUCCGGGGGCGCUGCGCGCGAAGUAGCACGUGCUUCUCGAAACACCGCAGCCCCCGGGUCCCGCCCCGCCCGGCGCGCGCACUCGAACCCGCCCAGAGAGCGAAUGAAGCCAGCCUGGAAGAUCCCCAGUCUCGAGACAGAGCCUGACAGGGGCAGAUGCACUGGAAGGACCCUGUCUGGGUUUAGCAACCAAGCAGCCAUCCUGGCCCCACAGGUGUGGGACUUCUGGGUCUUCUCCUGGCUGGCUUCUUGCUAGAGGAUUUCAAGAGACCCAGCAAGACUGUAUUGUCCCACUGAAUGCUCAAGAUAUUGGUUAGAAGUAGAAAAGGGGAGGGGGUAGUAUUUAGCCUCUGUCCCCACUAAAAAUUAUUCCCAAUUGUCAUUUGUGUCAUCUGUUUAGCUUACAGUUUUAAUCCUUGUCAAAAUGAUCAUUUGCCAGGGUGCAUAAAACACCCUAUUUGAUGAGAACUGGUUUUAAAGGAAAAUGGGGCCAUCAGAAGGAAGCCGGUUGGUGUGAAGAGACGUCUGGGAAGAGCCCCUGGCGAGGGCCCUCAUUCCACUGGGUGACCCAGAAGGAGAAAACCGCGAUGGCGCUUCUCAUUUGAAAUGUUUUCUUUAUGGACAGUGUUUAGCAAUUGUUAUAAUGUGUACUUUUGUUGAUUGAUCUGUAUACAUAUGUAAAAUAAUUUGUUCUCUGAGUUAAUUUUGUUGGAACAAAGACUUUAGUGCUUCCUACAUUAAAACAUUUUACUGUAUUGCCUGC